rnacentral:rRNA from 1 species
GACGAACGCUGGCGGCGCGCCUAACACAUGCAAGUCGAACGGAGCGCAGCGGAAGAUCCCUUCGGGGUGAUUUUGCUGUUGCUUAGUGGCGAACGGGUGAGUAACACGUGAGCAACCUACCCUUCAGUGGGGGACAACAUUUGGAAACAGAUGCUAAUACCGCAUAAGACCACGUCCCGGCAUCGGGAUGAGGCCAAAGGAGCAAUUCGCUGAAGGAUGGGCUCGCGCCUGAUUAGAUAGUUGGUGGGGUAACGGCCUACCAAGUCGACGAUCAGUAGCCGGACUGAGAGGUUGAACGGCCACAUUGGGACUGAGACACGGCCCAGACUCCUACGGGAGGCAGCAGUGGGGAAUAUUGCACAAUGGGCGAAAGCCUGAUGCAGCGACGCCGCGUGAGGGAAGAAGGUUUUCGGAUUGUAAACCUCUGUCUUCGGGGACGAUAAUGACGGUACCCGAGGAGGAAGCCACGGCUAACUACGUGCCAGCAGCCGCAGUAAAAC